GGAGUGCUGGGCCCAGCUGAGCUGGGCGGCCCUGGGCUCAGGAGCCAGCAGGAGCCCCCGCCCUGCUCAGCCAAGGCUCCAGGUCCCAUUCCCAGCAGCCCUGCAGGCAGUCCCCUCGCAGCCCUGUCCCUGCAGGCCCUGGUGGGUGGGGCUUCCACUCGAGUUCCUGAGGAGCCUGGCCUCCCCGCUCAUCUCUGUGCAACAGCCCCAGGCUUUCCAGUCCUGACCCAGACCCGGGAGCCCAGCACUCAGCGGGAGGAGUUUCACCCACACACGGCAAGAGGUGCACGUGGGGGCAUCCAGCGUGGCAUCACCAUGUCCCACCGUGGGAGCCGUCUCACAGCAAUACGGGCACCUGAGUCGCACACCUCGAUGAACACCCACGUGAGCAAAACCUGAUCCUGACGUGGAACAUUCCAGACCCCCUCCACCUCCUGCCAGCUGCAGGCAGCGCUCCGAUCCCCAACACAGAACAUUCCAACAUUCCACACCCCCCCAGCUGCAGGCAGCACCCUCACCCCUGACCACAGAACAUUCUACCCCCACCCACUGCAGGCAGCACCCUCGCCCCCGGCCACAGAACAUUCUACCCCCACCAACUGCAGGCAGCACCCUCGCCCCCGGCCACAGAACAUUCUACCCACCCCGCAGCUGCAGGCUGUACCCUCACCCUGGCCAUAGAACAUUCAACCCCCGCCCCCAGCUGCAGGCAGCACCCUCACCCCUGGCCACAGAACAUUCUACCCCUCCCAGCUGCAGGCAGCACCCUCACCCCUGGCCACAGAACAUUCUACCCCCCCGCCACCCAGCUGCAGGUAGCACCCUCACCCC
rnacentral:lncRNA from 1 species